AUGAUCUCGUAUGUACAUAAUGAAAACUUCAUUCUCUAUUCUACGGUAAUUUUUUAUGAAAGCAUUUCAUUUGCUUCUAUUCAAUGGAAGUUUCAUUUUCCUAGAAUGUAUCCAAUUUUUGGUCUAAUUCUUCUUCUGACGAUCGAUUUAACCUCAGAUCAAAAAGAUAGACCUUGGUUCUGUUUUAUCUCUUCAACAAGUUUAUACAUUGAAUGUACAGAAAUGGCUAUAACAAAGUUUAUGUUAUUCGUAUUAACAACUAUUCCGGGGGAAUGUUUUUAUGUGUUGCUAACGAUUUAA
rnacentral:rRNA from 1 species